rnacentral:rRNA from 1 species
GACGGAGGGUGCUAGCGUUGUUCGGAAUUACUGGGCGUAAAGCGUGUGUAGGCUGCUCCAUAAGUCGGAUGUGAAAGCCCCGGGCUCAACCCGGGAAGUGCACUCGAUACUGUGGAGCUCGAGUAUCGGAGAGGUUGGUGGAAUUCUCGGUGUAGAGGUGAAAUUCGUAGAUAUCGAGAGGAACACCGGUGGCGAAGGCGGCCAACUGGACGAAUACUGACGCUGAGACACGAAAGCAAGGGGAUCAAACAGG